AUUGAACGCUGGCGGCAUGCCUUACACAUGCAAGUCGAACGGUAACGCGGGGCAACCUGGCGACGAGUGGCGAACGGGUGAGUAAUACAUCGGAACGUGCCCAGUAGUGGGGGAUAGCCCGGCGAAAGCCGGAUUAAUACCGCAUACGACCUACGGGUGAAAGCGGGGGAUCGCAAGACCUCGCGCUAUUGGAGCGGCCGAUGUCAGAUUAGCUAGUUGGUGGGGUAAAGGCCUACCAAGGCGACGAUCUGUAGCUGGUCUGAGAGGACGACCAGGCACACUGGGACUGAGACACGGCCCAGACUCCUACGGGAGGCAGCAGUGGGGAAUUUUGGACAAUGGGGGCAACCCUGAUCCAGCCAUGCCGCGUGCGGGAAGAAGGCCUUCGGGUUGUAAACCGCUUUUGUCGGGGAAGAAACGGUCUGCGCUAAUACCGCGGGCUAAUGACGGUACCCGAAGAAUAAGCACGGCUAACUCCGUGCCAGCAGCCGCGGUAAUAC
rnacentral:rRNA from 1 species